rnacentral:tRNA from 2 species
GGCCCCAUCGUCUAGCGGUUAGGACGCCAGGUUCUCAUCCUGGUAACCGGGGUUCGAUUCCCCGUGGGGCUGCCA